rnacentral:rRNA from 1 species
AUUGAACGCUGGCGGCAUGCCUUACACAUGCAAGUCGAACGGUAACAGGUCUUCGGACGCUGACGUGUGGCGAACGGGUGAGUAAUACAUCGGAACGUGCCUAGUAGUGGGGGAUAACUACUCGAAAGAGUGGCUAAUACCGCAUGAGACCUACGGAUGAAAGCAGGGGAUCGCAAGACCUUGUGCUACUAGAGCGGCCGAUGGCAGAUUAGGUAGUUGGUGGGAUAAAAGCUUACCAAGCCGACGAUCUGUAGCUGGUCUGGGAGGACGAUCAGCCACACUGGGACUGAGACACGGCCCAGACUCCUACGGGAGGCAGCAGUGGGGAAUUUUGGACAAUGGGCGCAAGCCUGAUCCAGCAAUGCCGCGUGCAGGAUGAAGGCCUUCGGGUUGUAAACUGCUUUUGUACGGAACGAAAAGCCCCGGGUUAAUACCCUGGGGUCAUGACGGUACCGUAAGAAUAAGCACCGGCUAACUACGUGCCAGCCGCCGCAGUAA